rnacentral:rRNA from 1 species
UAAGGAAUAUUGGUCAAUGGACGCAAGUCUGAACCAGCCAUGCCGCGUGAAGGAUGAAGGUCCUCUGGAUUGUAAACUUCUUUUAUCUGGGACGAAAACGGGAUUUUUAUCUCAAUUGACGGUACCAGAGGAAUAAGCACCGGCUAACUCCGUGCCAGCAGCCGCGGUAAUACGGAGGGUGCGAGCGUUAUCCGGAUUUACUGGGUUUAAAGGGUGCGUAGGUGGGCUUAUAAGUCAGUGGUGAAAUCUCCGAGCUUAACUUGGAAACUGCCGUUGAUACUAUAGGUCUUGAAUUAUCUGGAGGUCAGCGGAAUAUGGCAUGUAGCGGUGAAAUGCUUAGAUAUGACAUAGAACACCAAUUGCGAAGGCAGCUUACUACAUAUAAAUUGACGCUGAGGCACGAAAGCGU